UAUAAUAUAAAAUUCACUUAUCAAAAUACCCCCAAACUUAGCUUUUUGCUUGUCCUCAAGCAAAACAAGACUAGAAAACAAAAAUAAAAACUAACAAACUUGACACUUAACUAAAACUUAGCUAAAACAAAAUUCUCACUUUCAAGUUGCAAUCCAUAGAAAAUGUUAAAAAUCAGAAUAUCUUUUCAAAAGUUCCAACCAAUCUCACCGUAGAGUCUAAGCCAUUUAGAAUCAAUUAGAAAAGAAUUCACAAACUUCCUUUGGUGUAAAGUGAACCAACAUAGUUAAAGAGACUCGACUAAAACUCUUACCUCUCAUCCCUUUAUUCAUACUUCA
rnacentral:lncRNA from 1 species